GGGCCCAUAGCUCAAUGGUAGAGCACCGGACUCAUAAUCCGUUGGUUCCAGGUUCGAGUCCUGGUGGGCCCACCG
rnacentral:tRNA from 1 species